GAUGAACGCUGGCGGCGUGCCUAAUACAUGCAAGUCGAGCGAACGGACGAGAAGCUUGCUUCUCUGAUGUUAGCGGCGGACGGGUGAGUAACACGAGGAUAACCUACCUAUAAGACUGGGAUAACUUCGGGAAACCGGAGCUAAUACCGGAUAAUAUUUUGAACCGCAGGGUUCAAAAGUGAAAGACGGUCUUGCGGUCACUUAUAGAUGGAUCCGCGCUGCAUUAGCUAGUUGGUAAGGUAACGGGUUACCAAGGCAACGAUGCAUAACCGACCUGAUAGGGUGGUCGGCCACCCUGGAACUGAGACACGGUCCAGACUCCUACGGGAGGCAGCAGUCGGGAAUCUUCCGCAAUGGUCGAAAGCCUGACGGAGCAACGCCGCGUGAGUGAUGAAGGUCUUCGGAUCGUAAAACUCUCUUAUUAGGGAAGAACAUAUGUGUAAGUAACUGUGCACAUCUUGACGGUACCUAAUCAGAAAGCCACGGCUAACUACGUG
rnacentral:rRNA from 1 species